GACGGCCCUAUGGGUUGUAAACUGCUUUUAUACAGGAAGAAACACCUCUACGUGUAGAGGCUUGACGGUACUGUAAGAAUAAGGAUCGGCUAACUCCGUGCCAGCAGCCGCGGUAAUACGGAGGAUCCAAGCGUUAUCCGGAAUCAUUGGGUUUAAAGGGUCCGUAGGUGGAUAAUUAAGUCAGGGGUGAAAGUCUGCAGCUCAACUGUAGAAUUGCCCUUGAUACUGGUUGUCUUGAGUCAUUAUGAAGUAGUUAGAAUAUGUAGUGUAGCGGUGAAAUGCAUAGAUAUUACAUAGAAUACCAAUUGCGAAGGCAGAUUACUAAUAAUGUACUGACACUGAUGGACGAAAGCGUGGGGAGCGAACAGGAUUAGAUACCCUGGUAGUCCACGCCGUAAACGAUGGAUACUAGCUGUUCGGAUUUAUCUGAGUGGCUAAGCGAAAGUGAUAAGUAUCCCACCUGGGGAGUACGUUCGC
rnacentral:rRNA from 1 species